GCUUAGCCAUAAACUUAGAUGUUAUUUUACAAAAAACAUCCGCCAGGGUACUACAAGCGCCAGCUUAAAACCCAAAGGACUUGACGGUGUCUCAGACCCACCUAGAGGAGCCUGUUCUAGAACCGAUAAUCCACGUUAAACCUCACCACCCCUUGCCUCUCCCGCCUAUAUACCGCCGUCGCAAGCUUACCCUGUGAAGGGUUAACAGUAAGCAAAAUGGGUACUCCCCAGAACGUCAGGUCGAGGUGUAGCUCACGAGGUGGAAAGAAAUGGGCUACAUUUUCUGUACCAGAAUAUUACGAAUGGUGUUAUGAAACUAAUACCUGAAGGUGGAUUUAGUAGUAAAAAUCAAAUAGAGAGUCAUUUUGAAAUCAGGCUCUGAGACGCGC
rnacentral:rRNA from 1 species